AUUGAACGCUGGCGGCAUGCCUUACACAUGCAAGUCGAACGGUAACGGGUCCUUCGGGAUGCCGACGAGUGGCGAACGGGUGAGUAAUAUAACGGAACGUGCCCAGUAGUGGGGGAUAACUGCUCGAAAGAGCAGCUACUACCGCAUACGACCUGAGGGUGAAAGGGGGGGAUCGCAAGACCUCUCGAUAUUGGAGCGGCCGAUAUCAGAUUAGCUAGGUGGUGGGGUAAAGGCCUACCAAGGCAACGAUCUGUAGUUGGUCUGAGAGGACGACCAGCAACACUGGGACUGAGACACGGCCCAGACUCCUACGGGAGGCAGCAGUGGGGAAUUUUGGACAAUGGGCGCAAGCCUGAUCCAGCAAUGCCGCGUGCAGGAAGAAGGCCUUCGGGUUGUAAACUGCUUUUGUCAGGGAAGAAAUCUUCUGGGCUAAUACCCCGGGAGGAUGACGGUACCUGAAGAAUAAGCACCGGCUAACUACGUGCCAGCCGCCGCCGUAAUAC
rnacentral:rRNA from 1 species